GAAAGAGAUUUUGUCCUGGACUACGUGGUAGCGUUUUCCGAGUACAAUAACUGUGACAUUCUGAGGCUACCGCAUCGUAAUGAUGCCUGUGAACUUUGGGCAAAAGCAGGUGCCGUCGACAAAGUGAAGUCACACUGCUUUUUCAUAUUUCACUUGCUCUGUGGACCAGAAAAGCACAUCGUGUAUGACAAAGAUUUAUGCGAAAAUAAAUAACUACCUGCCCGCCACUC